GAUGAAGAACGCAGCGAAAUGCGAUAAGUAAUGUGAAUUGCAGAAUUCAGUGAAUCAUCGAAUCUUUGAACGCACAUUGCGCCCGUCAGUAUUCUGGCGGGCAUGCCUGUUCGAGCGUCAUUACGCCCCUCAAGUCCCCUGUGGACUUGGUGUUGGGGAUCGGCGAGGCUGGUUUUCCAGCACAGCCGUCCCUUAAAUUAAUUGGCGGUCUCGCCGUGGCCCUCCUCUGCGCAGUAGUAAAACACUCGCAACAGGAGCCCGGCGCGGUCCACUGCCGUAAAACCCCCCAACUUUUUGUAGUUGACCUCGAAUCAGGUAGGACUACCCGCUGAACUUAAGCAUAUCAAUAAGCGGAGGA
rnacentral:misc_RNA from 1 species